GGAAUAAAAGUCGUAACAAGGUUUCCGUAGGUGAACCUGCGGAAGGAUCAUUAUUGUAUAACCGAGGUGCGAGGGCUGUCGCUGACCCGAAAGGUCGUGCACGCCCGAGUGCCCUCACACACAUCCAUCUCACCCCUAUGUGCACCACCGCGUGGGUCCCCCUUUGGCUUGUUCGGAGGGGGGCUUACGUUUUCACACAAACUUUGUAUGCAGUGUAGAAUGUAUUUUUUGUUUUUGCGAUCACGCAAUCAAUACAACUUCCAACAACGGAUCUCUUGGCUCUC
rnacentral:misc_RNA from 1 species